rnacentral:rRNA from 1 species
GAUGAACGCUGGCGGCGUGCCUAAUACAUGCAAGUCGAGCGAACAGACGAGGAGCUUUCUCCUCUGACGUUAGCGGCGGACGGGUGAGUAACACGUGGUUAACCUACCUAUAAUUCUGCGAUGACUUCGGGAAACCGGAUCUAAUACCGGAUAAUAUAUUUAACCGCAUGGUUCAAUAGUUAAAGACGGUUUUGCUGUCACUUAUAGAUGGAUCCGCGCCGCAUUCGCUAGUUGGUAAGGUAACGGCUUACCAAGGCAACGAUGCGUAGCCGACCUGAGAGGAUGGGAGGCCACCCCAGAAUUGAGCCACGGUACAGACCCCUCUGGUAGGCAGCGGAAGGGAAUCGUACGCAAUGCGCGGAAGGCUGACGGGACAACGCCGCGUGAGGGAUGAAGGUCUUCGGAUCGUAAUACUCUGUUAUUAGGGAAGAACGAAUGUGUAAGUAACUAGGCACGUCUUGACGGUACCUAAUCAGAAAGCCCCGGCUAACUACGUG